AGAUUUUAACUCCACCACUAAGUACCCAAAAUGUGUUCAUGUAUCUAAACUGUAUCUAAGUGUCCCAAAUUAAGUUUAAGUAUCCCACCAAAAUCCAAACAAUUACCCAUAAUUCUCAUUUUCUCAUAUUGAAACUUAUUUUUGUCAAAUAUAUCAAAUUGGUCCGAAUAUAUCAAAAUCGAUAUUUCAAAAAAUACUCAUCAAUUUUAUUAGGGAAGUAUCCCUCUGCCGAAUUUCGUGGGCUCCGUGCACCCCUGUCGGAUUUCGUGGGCUCUGUACACCCCUACCGGAUUUCAUGGGCUCCGUGCACCCCUACCGAAUUUCGUGGGCUCCGGUGUACCCAAGGCUAGGGACACC
rnacentral:lncRNA from 1 species